CUUUUUUCCAUUUGUUAAAAAAAUAUAAGCUUCCUGCGAUCGAUCCUGGAAUGAUAAAAGUAUGUCAACUGUUCUGUGAAAGUAAUGUGUUUGGUUCAUCCUUAGAAUAAACCUUUUAAUAUCUUUAAAUGAAUUGGGUCAAGCAAAUUUCGAGAAUUCUUCAGAAAGGGGACCUCUUAAUAAGGGUGCUUCUCCAGAGGUCCCGAGGUUUGCUGUGGAUAAAUCUGUUGAAUUUUCAUAUGAUGAACUCGCUAAUGCCAUUGACAACUUCAGCACAUCCUACAAGAUUGGCCGAGGUGGUUUUGCAUCUGUUUACUAUGGAGAGUUACGAGGCGAGAAAGAUGGUAUCAAGAAGAUGGAUAUGCAAUCAACAAAAAAAUUCCUUGCUGAAUUGAAGGUUUUGGCACAUGUUCAUCACUUGAACUUGGUAAAUUCGUUAAUCAUACUGGGUAUGAGCCUGGAUUUUUGUUGUACUUGUCAUUCUCUUCUUUUCCGAGGCUUCUUGGAGAUUUGUGAGGUACGUUUAAUAGGAUAUUGCAUUGAAGGAUCCUUGUUCUUACUUCUUAGUAUAUGGGUUCAUUGAAAAUGGAAACCUAAGCCACCAUUUGCGCCAUUUUAAGUAUGGUUUCGUAUGCUUGCUUUUACACCAGCGACAUCAAAAUACAGCCAUUAAGAUGAUAUGCAUGCUUUCUCAAGUCUCAACAAGCUUUGGCUAAAGGAGAGGCACAGAGCUCUAUUUUCUGAUGUUUCUUUGUUGGAAAUUGUUACUAAAAGCCCUAAUGAAUAUCAUAAGGUUUUGAAUGUAAAGUUCUUUUGAGUUUUAGUUGGUAGAUCCAUUAGGAUAGGUAUGAAACUACUGACUUGGUCUUGGUCGUUGUCAUUGUUUACAAGACGACAAAGUGUUUGUACCUUGAAAUUGCUGAUUGUAGACCAGAUGUUGGUACAACAGGUAAUUCUGUGCCAACCUCCUACCUGAUACAUGAGUUGACUUCUGUUUGCUAAUUAGGAGUUCUUGGGAUUUUUCUCUUUGCUAUCAUUGUUCGUGAUGUAUUUCACCACCAACCAAAUUGAAGGAAGAA
rnacentral:misc_RNA from 1 species